rnacentral:rRNA from 1 species
UACGAAGGGUGCAAGCGUUACUCGGAAUUACUGGGCGUAAAGCGCGCGCAGGCGGUCUUCCAAGUCAGUGGUGAAAGCCCGGAGCUCAACUCCGGAACUGCCAUUGAAACUGUUGGACUUGAGUAUGAGAGAGGUGAGUGGAAUUCCCAGUGUAGAGGUGAAAUUCGUAGAUAUUGGGAAGAACACCGGUGGCGAAGGCGGCUCACUGGCUCAUUACUGACGCUCAGGCGCGACAGCGUGGGGAUCAAACAGG